rnacentral:rRNA from 1 species
AUUGAACGCUGGCGGAAUGCUUUACACAUGCAAGUCGAACGGCAGCACGGGGCAACCUGGUGGCGAGUGGCGAACGGGUGAGUAAUACAUCGGAACGUGCCCAAUCGUGGGGAUAACGUAGCGAAAGUUACGCUAAUACCGCAUACGAUCUACGGAUGAAAGCGGGGAUCGCAAGACCUCGCGCGAAUGGAGCGGCCGAUGUCAGAUUAGGUAGUUGGUGGGGUAAAGGCUCACCAAGCCGACGAUCUGUAGCUGGUCUGAGAGGACGACCAGCCACACUGGGACUGAGACACGGCCCAGACUCCUACGGGAGGCAGCAGUGGGGAAUUUUGGACAAUGGGCGCAAGCCUGAUCCAGCCAUUCCGCGUGCAGGAUGAAGGCCUUCGGGUUGUAAACUGCUUUGUACGGAACGAAACGGUUACUCUCUAAU